rnacentral:piRNA from 1 species
UUCCUGUUCCUGUGGACUAGAAAUGGAGGU